CCUACGGGAGGCAGCAGUGGGGAAUAUUGCACAAUGGGCGCAAGCCUGAUGCAGCCAUGCCGCGUGUGUGAAGAAGGCAUUCGGGUUGUAAAGCACUUUCAGCGGGGAGGAAGGCGGUGAGGUUAAUAACCUCAUCGAUUGACGUUACCCGCAGAAGAAGCACCGGCUAACUCCGUGCCAGCAGCCGCGGUAAUACGGAGGGUGCAAGCGUUAAUCGGAAUUACUGGGCGUAAAGCGCACGCAGGCGGUCUGUCAAGUCGGAUGUGAAAUCCCCGGGCUCAACCUGGGAACUGCAUUCGAAACUGGCAGGCUAGAGUCUUGUAGAGGGGGGUAGAAUUCCAGGUGUAGCGGUGAAAUGCGUAGAGAUCUGGAGGAAUACCGGUGGCGAAGGCGGCCCCCUGGACAAAGACUGACGCUCAGGUGCGAAAGCGUGGGGAGCAAACAGGAUUAGAUACCCGAGUAGUC
rnacentral:rRNA from 1 species